rnacentral:rRNA from 1 species
AGAACGAACGCUGGCGGCAUGCCUAAUACAUGCAAGUCGAACGAACUCUUCGGAGUUAGUGGCGCACGGGUGCGUAACGCGUGGGAAUCUGCCCCUUGGUUCGGAAUAACAGUUGGAAACGACUGCUAAUACCGGAUGAUGACGAAAGUCCAAAGAUUUAUCGCCAAGGGAUGAGCCCGCGUAGGAUUAGCUAGUUGGUGAGGUAAAGGCUCACCAAGGCAACGAUCCUUAGCUGGUCUGAGAGGAUGAUCAGCCACACUGGGACUGAGACACGGCCCAGACUCCUACGGAGGCAGCAGUGGGAAUAUGGACAAUGGGCGAAAGCCUGAUCCAGCAAUGCCGCGUGAGUGAGUGAAGGUCCUUAAGGUUGUAAAGCUCGUUUUACCCGGGAUGAUAAUGACAGUACCGGAGAAUAAGCUCCGGCUAACUCCGUGUCAGCAGCCGC